rnacentral:rRNA from 1 species
UACGGGGGGGGCAAGCGUUGUUCAGAAUUACUGGGCGUAAAGGGCUCGUAGGCGGCCAACUAAGUCAGACGUGAAAUCCCUCGGCUUAACCGGGGAACUGCGUCUGAUACUGGAUGGCUUGAGUUUGGGAGAGGGAUGCGGAAUUCCAGGUGUAGCGGUGAAAUGCGUAGAUAUCUGGAGGAACACCGGUGGCGAAGGCGGCAUCCUGGACCAACACUGACGCUGAGGAGCGAAAGCCAGGGGAGCAAACGGG